rnacentral:lncRNA from 1 species
AGUGAACAACAUUUUCGCUAACCUGGGGAAUGAGACCUGGUAAUGAAGGAUACUAAAUGCGUACAACUACUGUAGAGCAGAUAAAAUGAGCCUGAGAACUGCUAAGGAAAUUGAAAGUCUGACUAUUGUGAAAGUAAAGGAAAAAGCAAGUCACAGAUAUUUGAUGCAAAGAUCUUACAUCUGUAAUGCAAUAUGUUUGGGGAGUGGAGCAAGAGGAUUACUUACAAGGUAGUCAGGCAAAGUGUGGUGACCUGAUUUAUUACCACAAAAAAAAAAAAAAAAAACUGCUCUCCUAGAUCCUUUACAGCACUUCUUUUGUUAAUAUGGGAUUUCUCCAAGUCAGUUCAAUGCAAUUCAUAACAGUUUAAUUGUUUUGGUAAAGAACUAAUCCUGGGUAAGGAAAGAAAAAAUAAAAAAAAGAAAAAGAAAAAAAUGAAAAAAUGC